rnacentral:rRNA from 1 species
AUGCCCAGAGCCCUCCUCCCUUCUCUCUCCCUCUCCUCACUAAUCUUUCUCCCUCUCUCCAUUCCCUCACUGCAGGACACCAUGGCUCCGUCGGACCUUCCCUCGCGAGUGACGGCCCUCUUCCCGACCAGAUCGGCGACGGCGACGACCGGUGAUGAACACAUGCCUGCCCCAUUCUUAAUUCUCCCGGGCAGUCUGGGAUGCAGAUGCCGCCGCCAUUCUUCCGCACAGCUGAGUACGCGGAAGUCGCUGUUGCCUGCAACUCAGCCGCCUCCAUCGUGUUCCCCUGCGAAGUUGAGGAGGGUUCGUUGUCCGGGCAUCGCAUCCUCCUGCUUGUCCUCUACCACAGGGUCGUCGCCAUCUUCCGUCACCACGACCACCUCUGCCGUGUCCUCUACGGCUCUACCACGGGGAGAGCAUGAGAAAGGUGUUGUGGAUACAUAUAUGAAUGCCCGCCAGAAGAAGAGAAAGGUGUUUGGCUGCAAAUCAGUUUUAUGUCAAACUGCACAUAAAUAUGAUCAAGUACUUGUUGUCUUUUUGCUGGUAGGGAGAGCAGGAGAAAGGUGUUGUGGAUACAUAUAUGAAUGCCUGCCAGAAGAAGAGAAAGGUGUUUGGCUGCAAGUUAUUGUGUUCGUAGGCUGUCCAUAUCACCGGGACUAA